AUUGAACGCUGGCGGAAUGCUUUACACAUGCAAGUCGAACGGCAGCACGGACUUCGGUCUGGUGGCGAGUGGCGAACGGGUGAGUAAUGUAUCGGAACGUGCCCAGUCGUGGGGGAUAACGUAGUGAAAAUUACGCUAAUACCGCAUACGAUCUAUGGAUGAAAGCGGGGGAUCGCGAGACCUCGCGCGAUUGGAGCGGCCGAUAUCAGAUUAGGUAGUUGGUGGGGUAAAGGCCCACCAAGCCAACGAUCUGUAGCUGGUCUGAGAGGACGACCAGCCACACUGGAACUGAGACACGGUCCAGACUCCUACGGGAGGCAGCAGUGGGGAAUUUUGGACAAUGAGCGAAAGCCUGAUCCAGCCAUUCCGCGUGCAGGAUGAAGGCCCUCGGGUUGUAAACUGCUUUUGUACAGAACGAAAAGGUUUCUACUAAUACUAGGAGCUCAUGACGGUACUGUAAGAAUAAGCACCGGCUAACUACGUGCCAGCCGCCGCAGUAA
rnacentral:rRNA from 1 species